rfam:Nippostrongylus brasiliensis genome assembly, scaffold: NBR_scaffold0000782
AGAUCGGUAGCACAGUGGUCAGUGCACUCUGCCGGAAACGGAAAGAUGCGGGUUCAAAACCAGUCCGAUGUC